AUACGUAGGGUGCAAGCGUUAAUCGGAAUUACUGGGCGUAAAGCGUGCGCAGGCGGUUUUGUAAGACCGAGGUGAAAUCCCCGGGCUCAAACUGGGAACUGCCUUUGUGACUGCAAGGCUAGAGUACGGCCGAGGGGGAUGGAAUUCCGCGGGUAGCAGUGAAAUGCGUAGAUAUGCGGAGGAACACCGAUGGCGAAGGCAAUCCCCUGGGCCUGUACUGACGCUCAUGCACGAAAGCGUGGGGAGCAAACAGGAUUAGAUACCCUGGUAGUCCACGCCCUAAACGAUGUCAACUGGUUGUUGGGUCUUCAUUGACUCAGUAACGAAGCUAACGCGUGAAGUUGACCGCCUGGGGAGUACGGCCGCAAGGUUGAAACUCAAAUGAAUUGACGGGG
rnacentral:rRNA from 1 species